GUGUAAUGGCUGCACUCAAGUUCUGCUCAUUAGUUAGGAAGGGAAGUCUCAAAGUAAUAUCCUACCUCUGAAACAAACUGUUUACUGCUACUUUACUUGAAGAAUACAGGACUAAAGUAACUCUUAAAUGUUAAAACUGAAACAGGAGCUUUUUGAAAAUAAGUUCUUUUCUUUUUAGGUUUCCUAUUCACAUUUAUACACAGUUGCUUUUAAGAGAAAGGAAGCAUUAACAAAGCUUACCUGCUUUUUUACUCAGUUUAUAUAAGAAUGUCUGUCGCGGAUCUGAAUGGUCUCGACAUGUCAGUUGCAAUAAAGAACCAGACUUCUUCCAUUUCUGCAUAAACCACAGUCCUGCAUUGUGAGGUACAACAUCCCUGCUGAGAUCAGGACCACACCAGACUAGGCACUGACUUAAAGAAGACCAGAUUCACAAAGUUAGAAGGAAAAAGUGCCUUUCUGCAUUACAGAUGCAAGGACAAGAUAUGGUGAAAACAGAAAACCAUCCAAAAUUAUGUACAGUAGAAAUAUCACUGCUGGAUCAUAUAUGUGUUACAGUAUUAUACCUCUAGGAUCAUCCUUCCUGUUUGCUCUGUAUCACUACAUUCAUCAACAGAAUUAGCUAGAACAAAGCUUCCUGUAACAUCUGUGUAAAAUUCAGUGCUAAAAGAUUACUUGACUAUUUAAAUACUUCCCAAGCAAGAGUCACUGCUUCGGAAAAUACCAAUUCAAAGGUAAAAAUUUCAAACAAUUGCUUAUAGAAUGGCAGAACCACCCUGAACUCCUAAACUUGGAAAUAAUUAUGCAUUUCUACAACAGAAAAAGGGGUUUUUUUUGUAUAUUACUAAUACAUAGUUUAAGCAUGCACAUAUGUUCUUCUCAGUUGCUUUUACUACUAAUAUCCAAUAGUAUUUGUAUGAGAAAUUCUUAGCUUGAGCUUGCUAUAUUUGCCUAACUAAUUUUGAAAUGAAAGAUUACUUAUCCUCUGUGGUGUCAGCACAACAGCAGUGCAUUUGCAAAACAAAACACUUAGCUGCUCUCUUGAAUACUAAAAUUUAAAACUAUUCCAUUGGAGGACACAAAAA